AGCCUGAUCCAGCCAUGCCGCGUGUGUGAAGAAGGCCUUAUGGUUGUAAAGCACUUUAAGCGAGGAGGAGGCUACUUUAGUUAAUACCUAGUGAUAGUGGACGUUACUCGCAGAAUAAGCACCGGCUAAC
rnacentral:rRNA from 1 species